rnacentral:rRNA from 1 species
GACGAACGCUGGCGGCGUGCUUAACACAUGCAAGUCGAACGGGUCUGCCCUGUUUUUUGCGGGGUGGGUCAGUGGCGAACGGGUGAGUAACACGUGAGUAACCUGCCCCUCACUUCUGGAUAACCGCUUGAAAGGGUGGCUAAUACGGGGUGUUCUGGCUGUGCCGCAUGGUGUGGCUGGGAAAGAUUCACUUUUGUGGUGUUUUGGUGGGGGAUGGGCUCGCGGCCUAUCAGCUUGUUGGUGGGGUGAUGGCCUGCCAAGGCUUUGACGAGUAGCCGGCCUGGGAGGGUGGGCGGUAACACAGGGACUGAGAUACGGCCAAGACUCCUGCGGGAGGCAGCAGUGGGGGGUAUUGGACAAUGGGCGGAAGAAUGAUGCAGCGACGUCGCGUGAGGGAUGGAGGACUGCGGGUUGUGAACCUCUUUCGCCGGUGAAGAAGGUCCUGCUCUUGGUGGUGGGGUUGACGGUAGACGGGUUAUGAAGCGCCGGCUAACUACGUG